CAGCAGCCACGGGAAUACAGAGGGUGCAAGCGUUAAUCGGAAUUACUGGGCGUAAAGCGCGCGUAGGUGGUUUGUUAAGUUGGAUGUGAAAUCCCCGGGCUCAACCUGGGAACUGCAUUCAAAACUGACUGACUAGAGUAUGGUAGAGGGUGGUGGAAUUUCCUGUGUAGCGGUGAAAUGCGUAGAUAUAGGAAGGAACAUCUGUGGCGAAGGCGACUAUCUGGGCCAACACUGACGCUGAGACACGAAAGCGUGGGGAGCAAACAGGAUUAGAUACCCCUGUAGUCCCUGUCUCUUAUAC
rnacentral:rRNA from 1 species